AUACUGAGACUAAGGUAGAAAAAGACACUUCCAAAGGGUGUCAAUGACAAGAGAGAAAUAGACAUAGAGUGGUCACUUCAUUUACCAACCCUGGAACCGCAGACCUCUGGGCUUCCUGAUAAAGAAAAUGGGUACGGCCAAGACCAUAGACCUAGUGAUUGUCAGAUGAACAAUUAGACCCACAGAACCAUCCAAGCUACAGAGGACGCAUUCUGCCUUCCCUUGGAUCCUGUGGUUUGAGGAUGGAGGUCUAGGACCGUGGCAGGCUUUUUGUCCCAUGAGGGAAGGCCAUGGAGCUGAGGAAGGGGAAGAACACACACACCUAAUGGAAUCUCGAGAGAAAGUUCAGACAUCAAAAGACAGAAGCGACAGAGACCCAGAUGGAGUCUCACCCAGCCUGGAGUACAGUAGUAUGAUCUGCAACCUUUGCCUCCCAGGUUCAGGCGAUUCUCCUGUCUCAGCCUCCGGAGUAUCUGGGAUUACAGGCACGUGCCACCACGCCCGGCUAAUUUUUUGUAUUUUUAGUAGAGAUGGGUUUCACCGUGUUAGCCAGGAUGGUCUCGAACUCCUGACCUCGUGAUCUACCCGCCUUGGCCUCCCAAAGUGCUGGGAUUACAGGCAUGAGCUACCGUGCUCGGCCAUGCCUGGCUAAUUUAUAUAUACAUAUAUAUAUAUAUAUAUAUUUUUUUUUUUUUUUUUUUUUUUUUGAGACAGAGUCUUGCUCUGUCACCCAGGUUGGAGUGCAGUGGCAUGAUCUCGGCUCACUGCAAGCUCGCCUCCCAGGUUCACGCCAUUCUCCUGCCUCAGCCUCCUGAGUAGCUGGGACUACAGGCGCCCGCAUGACGCCCGGCUAAUUUUUUGUAUUUUUAGUAGAGACGGGGUUUCACUGUGUUAGCCAGGAUGGUCUCGAUCUCCUGACCUCGUGAUCUGCCCACCUCAGCCUCCGAAAGUGCUGGGAUUACAGACAUGAGCCACCGCACCCAGCCUUAUAUAUAUAUUUUUUAUUAGUGAAGAGGUUUCGCCAUAUUGGCCAGACUGGUCUCGAACUCCUGACCUCAGGUGAUCCACCCACCUCGGCCUCCCAAAGUGCUGGGAUUACAGGUGGGAGCCACCGCACCCUGCCUAAAAUGCAAAAGAUUUUGAAUGGCGAGAAUGGCGACAUGAUGCCACAAGUGGAAAAUUCCACACCUGGCUGCAUGUAAUGGGUUGAAGUCAAAAUGCAGUCAAAAACUUUGUUUCAUGUACAAAAUUAUUAAAAACAUUGUAUAAAAUCACCUUCAGACUAUGUGUAUGUGAAACCUAAGUGAAUUUAAUGGCUAGACUUCAGUUGCAUUCCCAAGAUCUCUCAUUAUGUAUAUGCAAAUAUUUUGAAAUUCAACCUGGUUCCACACAUUUUAGAUAAGGGAUACUCAAGCUGUAAUUAACAAAUAAACUUUUCACAGUCCAAGCAGCCAAAGGCCCACUGUCCCUGUUCCCUCAGCUCACGCCCCCUUCCGUGCACAGCCUUAUCUAAUCCUUCUACCCUUCGUUGUGUUUGGACUUCAGACUCUUUUUUUUUAAGACAAAGUCCCGCUCUGUUGCCCAGGCUGGAGUGCAGUGGCGCGAUCUCAGCUCAACCUCUGCCCCCAGGUUCAAGCAAUUCUCAUGUCUCAGCCUCCCGAGUAGCUGGGAUUACAGACACCCGUCACCACGGCUGGCUAAUUUUUGUAUUUUUAAUGGAGACGGGGUUUCACCAUGUUGGCCAGGCUGGUCUCAAACUCCUGACCUCAGGUGAUCCGCCCCCAUCAGCCUCCCAGGGUUUUGGGAUUACAGGCGUGAGCCACUGCGUUCGGUCUGGACUUCAGAUUCUUGAGCUGGCUGCAAGACUCCAGGUCCCCUGUGAACCACACUCAAUAAUCCCUCCCUAAUCGCUGGUCCCCAGCAGCUCAGAUUGGCUGCUGUUUGUCCAGUGAGGAGGUGGGCAAGGGUGCCCUUGGUUUAUGCCCAUGAUAAAAAGAAAAGCAGCUAUGGUGCAGUAGAUGCUCAGAACUCCAGCGCGCAUCAGCCUCUAGAGAGGGGCCUGGCCUCUGCUUGAACAGUGUAUUUCUUUCUCUCCUUCCUGGACAUACUGCAAUCAAAGCAUUUUCUAAGAGUCGGGUGGGACUCCACAGAUGGUCUUGUCCAAUAGCCUCACUUUGCAGGUGAGAACAAUGCAUCCAGGCCAAGCGUUUUUUCAUUUUACUGCCCGCUACUCUCCAAGUGCAGUCUCUUAACAGUUUCUGAGUCUGAAUGCAACUCUUGUUAACUGCUCAGUAAAGGAAUUCUGUCAGGAAAGCUGCAGUUUACAUCAGUGGUUCUCAGCCUUGAUGACACAUUGAAAUCAUCUGGGGAGAUUUACAAGCUACUGACACCUGGGUCCUGCUCCUAGCGGUUCUGAUUUAUUUUUGUUUGUUUGUUUGUUUUUGGAGUUUCACUCUUGUUGCCCAGGCUGGAGUGCAAUGGUGCCAUCUCGGCUCACUGCAACCUCCGCUUCCCGGGUUCAAGCGAUUCUCUUGCCUCAGCCUCCUGAGUAGCUGGGAUUACAGGCGCCCACCACCAUGCCUGGCUAAGUUUUUGUAUUUUUAGUAGAGACAGGGUUUCACCAUGUUGGCCUGGCUGGCCAGGCCAGUCUCGAACUCCUGAACUCAGGUGAUCCACCCGCCUGAGCUUCCCAAAGUGCUAGGAUUACAGGCAUGAGCCACCGCACCAAGGCUACUGAUUUAUUUUAAUUAGGGUGCAGCAUGAGCACUGGGAUUUUUUUACUCCCCAGGUAUUCCCAAUAUGCAGCCAUAAUUGAGAACCACUAGUCAAUAUGGAGUGUGUGUGUGUGUGUGUGUGUGUGUGUGUGUGUGUGUGUGUACAUUUCUAGGUAUGGGUGAUAUUUGCAUGCAGCACGUAUCUGUGCACAUAGACACAUACACACACGGAAAUCUGGACUUCCCAAUACACAGAGUAAUACAUGCUGAGGUCACCAGCAAAGCAGGACAAUAAAGAAAGUGAGAAAAAAUUUUGAGAGCCAGACACGGUGGCUCAUGCCUGUAAUCCCAGCUUUCAGGGAGGCAGAGGCAGGAAGAUAGCUUGAUCCCAGGAGUUCAAGAUCUACCUGGGCGAUAUAGCGAGACCCCGUUCUCCACAAAAAGGAAAAAAAAACAAAGAAAAAGUUUUUAGAACAUGAUAUUUAAGAAACAAAAAAGUCAUCAUGGAGAAAAUAACAUUUUUUUUUUUUUUUUGAGACAGAGUCUCACUCUGUUGCCCAGGCUGGAGUGCAGUGACGCGAUCUCGGCUCACUGCAACCUCUGCCUCCCGGGUUCAAGUGAUUCUCCUGCUUCAGCCUCUCGAGUAGCUGGGAUUACAGGCACGUGCCACCAUGCCUAGCUAAUUUUUGUAUUUUCAGUAGAUGGGGUUUCACCAUGUUGGCUGGGCUGAUCUCGAACUGCUGACCUCAAGUGAUCUGCCUGCCUCACCCUCCCAAAUGUUGGGAUUACAGGUGUGAGCCACUGUGCCCGGCUAAAAAUCACAUUCUUUAUUG
rnacentral:lncRNA from 1 species